GACGAACGCUGGCGGCGUGCUUAACACAUGCAAGUCGAACGGUGAAGCGAGUGCUUGCACUCGUGGAUCAGUGGCGAACGGGUGAGUAACACGUGAGUAACCUGCCCAUCACUCUGGGAUAAGCACUGGAAACGGUGUCUAAUACUGGAUACGACCAACCCUUGCAUGGGGUGUUGGUGGAAAGAUUUAUCGGUGAUGGAUGGACUCGCGGCCUAUCAGCUUGUUGGCGGGGUAAUGGCCCACCAAGGCGACGACGGGUAGCCGGCCUGAGAGGGUGACCGGCCACACUGGGACUGAGAGACGGCCCAGACUCCUACGGGAGGCAGCAGUGGGGAAUAUUGCACAAUGGGCGAAGGCCUGAUGCAGCGACGCCGCGUGAGGGAUGACGGCCUUCGGGUUGUAAACCUCUUUCAGCAGGGAAGAAGCGAAAGUGACGUUACCUGCAGAAGAAGCACCGGCUAACUACGUG
rnacentral:rRNA from 1 species